AGGGGAGCUUGCUCCCCGGAUGCCAAGCGGCGGACGGGUGAGUAAUGCAUAGGAAUCUGCCCGAUAGUGGGGGAUAACGUGGGGAAACCCCACGCUAAUACCGCAGACGUCCUACGGGAGAAAGCGGAGGAUCUUCGGAUUUCGCGCUAUCGGAUGAGCCUAUGUCGGAUUAGCUAGUUGGUAAGGUAACGGCUUACCAAGGCGACGAUCCGUAGCUGGUCUGAGAGGAUGAUCAGCCACACUGGGACUGAGACACGGCCCAGACUCCUACGGGAGGCAGCAGUGGGGAAUAUUGGACAAUGGGCGAAAGCCUGAUCCAGCCAUGCCGCGUGUGUGAAGAAGGCUUUCGGGUUGUAAAGCACUUUCAGCGAGGAAGAAAGCCUCCGGGUUAAUACCCUGGAGGAAGGACAUCACUCGCAGAAGAAGCACCGGCUAACUCCGUGCCAGCAGCCGCGGUAAUACGGAGGGUGCGAGCGUUAAUCGGAAUUACUGGGCGUAAAGCGCGCGUAGGUGGCUUGGCACGCCGGUUGUGAAAGCCCCGGGCUCAACCUGGGAACGGCAUCCGGAACGGCCAGGCUAGAGUGCAGGAGAGGAAGGUAGAAUUCCCGGUGUAGCGGUGAAAUGCGUAGAGAUCGGGAGGAAUACCAGUGGCGAAGGCGGCCUUCUGGCCUGACACUGACACUGAGGUGCGAAAGCGUGGGUAGCAAACAGGAUUAGAUACCCUGGUAGUCCACGCCGUAAACGAUGUCGACUAGCCGUUGGGACCUUUAAGGACUUAGUGGCGCAGUUAACGCGAUAAGUCGACCGCCUGGGGAGUACGGCCGCAAGGUUAAAACUCAAAUGAAUUGACGGGGGCCCGCACAAGCGGUGGAGCAUGUGGUUUAAUUCGAUGCAACGCGAAGAACCUUACCUACCCUUGACAUCCUGCGAACCCUCUUGAG
rnacentral:rRNA from 1 species